rnacentral:rRNA from 1 species
GUAGGGAAUAUUGGGCAAUGGAGGCAACUCUGACCCAGCCAUGCCGCGUGCAGGAAGACGGUCCUCUGGAUUGUAAACUGCUUUUGAAUGGGAAGAAACGCACUUUUGCGAAAGUGUUUGACGGUACUAUUAGAAUAAGCACCGGCUAACUCCGUGCCAGCAGCCGCGGUAAUACGGAGGGUGCAAGCGUUAUCCGGAUUUAUUGGGUUUAAAGGGUGCGUAGGCGGCUUAAUAAGUCUGGGGUUAAAGGCGGCAGCUUAACUGUACGCAUGCCCUGGAAACUGUUGAGCUUGAGUGACUUGGAGGUAGCUGGAAUUCCCUGUGUAGCGGUGAAAUGCAUAGAUACGGGGAGGAAUACCGAUUGCGAAGGCAUGUUACUACGAGUAAACUGACGCUGAUGCACGAAAGCGUGGGGAUCAAACAGGAUUAGAAACCCUUGUAGUCC